GACGAACGCUGGCGGCGUGCUUAACACAUGCAAGUCGAACGAGAUCCAUGUUGUAGCAAUACUUCGGAAGAUCUAGUGGCGAACGGGUGAGGAACACGUGAGGAACCUGCCCCGGACUUCGGGAUAACAGUUGGAAACGAUUGCUAAUACCGAAUACCUCUGCGAAGUGGCAUCACCUUGCAAAGAAAGAAUUUCGGUCCGGGAGGGUCUCGCGGCCUAUCAGCUAGUUGGUGGGGUAACGGCCUACCAAGGCAUCGACGGGUAGCUGGUCUGAGAGGAUGAUCAGCCACACUGGGACUGAGACACGGCCCAGACUCCUACGGGAGGCAGCAGUGGGGAAUCUUGUGCAAUGGGCGAAAGCCUGACACAGCAACGCCGCGUGCGGGAAGAAGGCCUUCGGGUCGUAAACCUCUUUUAGUAGGGAAGAAGCGAAAGUGACGGUACCUGCAGAAAAAGCACCGGCUAACUACGUGCCAGCAGCCGCCGCCG
rnacentral:rRNA from 1 species